rnacentral:rRNA from 1 species
GGAUUAGAUACCCUGGUAGUCCACGCCCUAAACGAUGCAUAUUUGGUGUGGGCCAUUCAUUUGGUCUGUGCCGGAGCUAACGCGUUAAAUAUGCCGCCUGGGGAGUACAGUCGCAAGGCUGAAACUCAAAGGAAUUGACGGGGGCCCGCACAAGCGGUGGAGCAUGUGGUUCAAUUCGACGCAACGCGAAGAACCUUACCUAGGCUCGAAAUGCUUUGGACCAUCCCUGGAAACAGGGACUUUUCGCAAGAAACUGAAGUAUAGGUGCUGCAUGGCUGUCGUCAGCUCGUGUCGUGAGAUGUUGGGUUAAGUCCCGCAACGAGCGCAACCCUUGUCCUGUGUUGCCACAAAAUGGAACUCGCAGGAGACCGCCAGGGAUAACCUGGAGGAAGG